UCUCAGUUCGGAUUGGAGUCUGCAACCCGACUCCAUGAAGCUGGAUUCGCUAGUAAUCGCGCAUCAGCCACGGCGCGGUGAAUACGUUCCCGGGCCUUGUACACACCGCCCGUCAAGCCAUGGAAGCCGGGGGUGCCUGAAGUGCGCUGCCGCGAGGAGCGCCCUAGGGUAAAACCGGUGACUGGGGCUAAGUCGUAACAAGGUACC
rnacentral:rRNA from 1 species